UUAGCACUUUCACAGGUCCACCCCUGGGCAGUGGGGCCAGGAUUUGGUAGCUGGUGCUGAGAGAAAACCUUGUUUGCAUCCUUGCCCUGGUAUUAUACCAUUGGCAGCUGUCAUUCAGUGGGACAGAC
rfam:Cavia porcellus supercont2_4 genomic scaffold, whole genome shotgun sequence.